rnacentral:rRNA from 1 species
CCUACGGGAGGCAGCAGUGAGGAAUAUUGGUCAAUGGACGCAAGUCUGAAUCAGCCAUGUCGCGUGCAGGAUGACUGCCCUAUGGGUUGUAAACUGCUUUUAUAUUGGAAGAAUUGCGCUUACGAGUUAAGCGUUUGACGGUACAUUAUGAAUAAGGAUCGGCUAACUCCGUGCCAGCAGCCGCGGUAAU